UGGGGUUGUAGUUCAGUGGUAGAGCGCUUGCCUCACAUGCAUGAGACCCUAGGUUCAAUCCCUAGCACCACAA